GUGUCAGCAGCCGCGGUAAUACGUAGGGCGCAAGCGUUGUCCGGAAUUAUUGGGCGUAAAGAGCUCGUAGGCGGCUUGUCGCGUCGGACGUGAAAGCUCGAGGCUUAACCUCGGGUCUGCGUUCGAUACGGGCAGGCUAGAGGCAGGUAGGGGAGAACGGAAUUCCCGGUGUAGCGGUGAAAUGCGCAGAUAUCGGGAGGAACACCGGUGGCGAAGGCGGUUCUCUGGGCCUGUACUGACGCUGAGGAGCGAAAGCGUGGGGAGCGAACAGGAUUAGAUACCCGUGUAGUCC
rnacentral:rRNA from 1 species